rnacentral:lncRNA from 1 species
UUUGGGGCUAGAAGUUGCGGACUAGUAGCUGAGGCGGCACGGGAGUGUAGGCGCGCGGGGUCGUUGCCGGGGGCACAGAGUGAGAACAAGCAAGGGAGCCCUGCUGAAUUGCAGCUUAGGAAGCCCUGAAUCCUGGAGAUAUGUUCCUGACCCUUCCUUCUUGAAGGGACAGCUGUGUAACCAUUCAACCAUCUGGCCAUCAGUUUCCACAUCUGUGAAAUCAACUUCUGCCUCAUGGAGCCGUGAGUUCCCAAGGCUCUCGUGUGUAUUAUCUGAUUGGAAAGUCUUUACAGCUCACUGACAGUGAAGGCAGUGAGGGGCUGUGGUGUGAUCCAGGAGGCUGAGAAUUAUGCAGUGGGUGCUGUCACCUUGAAGACAUCAGCGUGAUCAGGCAGAUCAUCAUGGUACUGCAUUUCCUGGACACGAUCUUAAUUUUCUUAAUACCUCCACCGACAUUUCAAAUAGCGUCUCUAAUGCCCCAGAGACUUUUAUGCCCCUAAGGUAGUUUUCUUUCUUUUGUGAAGCAGAAGAAGGGAAAUUGUUAAAGGGAAUAUUUUAACUAAAUUUAUUUCCAUAAAACUAUCUUUGUCUUUAUAUCUCAUGGAAAGUGUUAGGUAGCCUCAGGAUUAUAUCUCCGUUGGAAAACUGUAGAUGUAAACCUUCUUGCUAUCUACAUACUUACAUAUUUUUCUGUUGUUAUUUACUUAUGAAUAGCAUUUUGAUUAUAGCAGAAAUAAAAUACAUUAAAUGACUAAGCUCAGAAAUAAGAAAAAAAGGUCAAUGGUGAUCAUUUAUUUGGAAACUAUGAUAUUUUAAUGAUAUUAAUGGUGUAAUUGACAUUUAGUUAAACAUAUUUCAUCGUAAGUAGAGCACUUUAACUCUUACGGUCCACUUAAAAUGUAAUCAUACGUUUAUGUAUUUCUAGUUAAUGUAUCAAACUCAACUGAGUAAUCAAUGUACAUCAUUUAUUUUGCUCCUAAGUUAAUACACUAAGUUAUGCUUUAAAAUUACUAAUUUGCUGCAAUAUCCAAUACUCUCUUUUAAGUCUUACGUCUGCAGAAAAGGAUAUAAACAUUUCAUGACACCAAACCCAAGUAUUUUUGAUGCCCUUGGCAGUGUCAGUUGAACAGACAGUGUCAUUUAAUGUUUGAGACAGCAUCUGAAUUCCUUUUAUUCUUAAAAUUCUAUUUUAAAAUGCAGUUUUUGGAAAGUUAAUGUGAAUAGAAAAAUUUCUAACAUUUUAUGUGCAUGUGUUUUGUUUGUUACAGGCUUAGCAUCUCAAAUCUGAAAAUUCGAAAUCUGAAAUGUUUCUAAAAUUCAACUCUUUUGAGUGCUGAUAUGACUUUCAAAGGAAAAGCUCAUUGGAGCAUUUCAGAUUUUGGAUUUUUGGAUUUGGGAUGUUUAACCAGGGUAAAAUAUAGAAUGCAAAUAUUCCAAAAUCUGAAUAAAAUUGAAAUCUGAAAUGCUUAUGGUUCCAAGCAUUUUGGAUAAGGGAUAAUUAAGCUGUAUAACUUAUAAAACUGAAUAUAACAAAAUUUCCCAACAUGUGGAAAAUGAUGUCUUUUUUCAAAAAUGUCAAUAGCAGAUACAUGGUACAGUAAGUUAGGGGAAAAAAUGAGGUUUCAUAUCUUCUAGUUUCCUAAUUAAAAGGAGCCCAUUCUGGGUUGGAAGAAAGUGUCAGUAAGAUCAUUUCUCCUAUUUGAAAAUCAUACAAAGCUUGUCAGAGUGACUCAGGCCAGGAGUGUAGCUGGGCGUGUAGCUAAAUGAUAUCUCCCCACAUCUAUAUAAUAAGCUGUUACCUGCUUUAAAAGGAAAAGCUCUCAGCAUGACUCUAAUGUUGCAUUUCUGGAAUACAGCUUGAAAAGCUCUUCUCAGGGUUGAACAGAGCAUGAAGGUAAUGGUUAUUAUCUACUCACAUUAAAAAAAAAAAAAAAGAAAGAAACCACCACAGAAAACUACUUACUGUCUUUAGGCUCUACUUUCAAAAGUGCCCUUUAUGAACGCUUUUACACUGUUGAUGGGAGUGUAAAUUAGUUCAACCAUUGUGGAAGACAGUGUGGUGAUUCCUCAAGGAUCUAGAAUCAGAAAUACCAUUUGACCCAGCAAUCCCAUUACUGGGUAUAUACCCAAAGGAUUAUAAAUCAUUCUAUUAUAAAGACACAUGCACACGUAUGUUUAUUGCAGCACUGUUCACAAUAGCAAAGACUUGGAACCAACCCAAAUGCCCAUCAAUGAUAGACUGGAUAAAGAAAUUGUGGCACAUACACACCAUGGAAUACUAUGCAGCCAUAAUAAAAGAUGAGUUCAUGUCCUUUGCAAGGACAUGGACAAAGCUGGAAACCAUCAUUCUCAGCAAACAAGAACAGAAAAUCAAACACUGCAUGUUCUCAGUCUAAGUGGGAGCUGAACAAUGAGAAAACAUGGACACAGAGAGGGGAACAUCACACACUGGGCCUGUUGGGGGGUAGGGGGCUAGGGGAGGGAUAGCAUUAGGAGAAAUACCUAAUGUAAAUGACAGGUUAAUGGGUGCAGCAAACCACCAUGGCAUGUGUAUACCUAUGUAACAAACCUGCAUGUUCUGCACAUGUAUCCCAGAACUUAAAGUAUAAAUAAAUAAAUGAAUAAAUAAAUAAAUUUUAAAAAGU